GGUUAGCUGGUUGAGAGAAGAGCUGGAGUUGUUGUCUGUGCAGAAGGAAGGGUCAGGUGGCUGUGUGAGGGACAGUAAGGGUUAGGCAGUUGUGCAAAGGACAGGAAAGAGGCAACUGAAGAAACAGAAAAGGAGUCAGUGUUGCGAGAAGCUGCCCGUGGGAACUCACAGAGAGAAGGAGGAAGGCAAGACAAUGAUGAUGAUGCAUCCUCCACUAAUGGACCCUGCUGAGACAGUGAUUUUGGCUGCAAGGGAGACUUUAUGGGCAUCUUGCACUUCACAUACCAACCUUCCUGAGAGAAAAAAGGAAAAGAAUCACACACUUUCACUGAUGUGCCUUUUUUCCAGGGACCAUUGCUGAAACUCUUCCUGCCCUGCAAUAUCUGCAUAUCAGCCUGGACUUGGCUUUUGCCCUCCAAUCCCACAGCAUCUCCCACAAAGCUUAAGGCAGUAUGAUCGGUCUUUAUUGACUUCUCAGAGUUUCAGAAGAAAAUAAACAUGAAGGUUAUUAGCUGUGAGCUGUGAAAGAUGUUACAUUAGUUAGGUUUCUAAACCUUUCAGAGCCAAAAGGGAUUUUUGGAAGGCACUUGUUUCCUCCUAAAAAUCUCUUCUGUACCUAAUAAAUUCUAGUUAGCUUACAAUUCUACAGACUUGAUAUAACUUCAUACAGUGAAUGAGUAGGGGCUCAUUGUCCUGAAGUCAGGAAUAAUCUCACUGUGUUUAAGCACCUUACCCUCUCUUACUUUCUGUCAUACUCCUUUUGCCAUAACAAUGAUAAUAGACCUUCUUAUUUUAUAAUUAUGUUUAUUCAUAUUCUAGGAAAAAAUGCAGCUCGCUCCUAGUUAAUUAGUCAGACUUUUAAAAUCUGUUUGGAUUUUCAAUAGUAAAAGGAAAGACAAUAAGAUCUCACUUGAUGUCUAACACUAGUGUAGGCUGUAGAUGCAGUUCAAACUCUGCAAGGCUUCUGGUGGGAAUGUUUCACAAAAGACACUUUGUCUCCUUUGGAAUAAAUGCCACCAAAUAGUGGAAUUUAUUUCUUAGCUAUUUUUCCAGGCCCUCUCUUUCCAGCAUGCUCUCAAACACUUCACAUAGAGAUUUGCUUCUUUGGAAUGGCAUGAGGGAGGACCAGCAGUGGGGGUUUGCUUU